CUCACUCUCUCCCUUUCCUCUCCCCUUCAUCAGCCGUUACUUACAGAACAUAGAGAAGAGAGAGAAAAUUGGAGGAGGCAACGCCAGCCGGCCGGCCGGCAGGCUCGCCUGCUCACGCGUGCACGGCGCGCGGCGCGUGCGACGCGGCGGCCUCGCGCAGCUGUGGCCCUGAGCGCUCGCGCGGUGGUGGGACCUGCGGCUUGGCGCGGCUGCGUGGGCGCGGGCUCGCCUACACCCAGCGCGGCCCCAGGCGUGGCGCUCGGCGGCGUGCACCCCUGGUGCUGGGCAUGAAGCGCAGCAGCAGCCAGCGGCCCCGGGUGGAGCGCUUGGCGCGACCGCGGCCACCGGUCCGACGUGGGUGGCCCGGCUCGGCCGGCGUGGAGGCUUGUGGCCUCGGGCGCGAGCGGCAGGCGGCCCCGCGGCCUCGCGUCCCCGCGCGGCGCGCGCGUGGCUCGGGGAGCCCCUGCGGCUGCAGCCCUGGCUCGCGUCCCCGCACGGCGCUCGACGCGGACGGGUGGAGGCGCAUGGCCAGCGGGUGACGCAGCGUGCCCGCGCGUGCUUUGGCGGCGACCGUGGCCCCUGCCCAUGCUUACCACCGUGCCAGACCUGUGCCGCUUCGACUCCCUGCAUAGCAAGGUAAUGAAUUUAAGAUUGAAAACUCCAUAUAAUCUGUAACUAUGAUAAUCCAGGGUUAAAGCUUCAAUAUUUUUUAAACAAAGAAUGAAACCUUUGUUGAUAGUUCAGGACGAGAUAUGAUUUCUAUUCUUGCCUUCCUGCAUAAGGUCUCUUGCAUAGCGACUAUUCGUGUUUAGUGAUAUUGACAAAGCCUCAUGUACUCGACUGGGCAUAAGCAUGAGUUGUUCUUAAUAUCCUUUUUGCAUAUAGCCUUGCAGGUUCAGUCAUUGCCAUGUUUCCAUCUCGUUUUGUUAUCAAUCUGUGAAUUUAGAUGUUUGUCUUCUAUCAUACUGUGUAAUGUUCAAAAAUUGGCAGCUCGCUCAUUUUGCAAACUUAUUAGGUUAGUGCAAAUUUGAAUAAAAAAUUUAUGGUAAUUUGGGAUAUAGUAAAGAAGGAUGUGUACCAUCGCAAUAUGCAGCAAUUUCAUCUGCCUUCACAGCUCUCCUGUGUAUUCUGAUACUUCACAAUAGAGGCAGGUCUGUAUUCAUCCCUUAGGCCUUUGCAAAUUCAAAUGUGUUUACAUUUUGUGGUUCCUACUGUUAAUGGUCUGAUUAAUUUUAUAAAAUAAGAUUUCAUCUUACUGAUCUUUGAAGCAAUACACCCAUAACCAUGCAGAGGAUGGAUUGUUAGCACUAUUCAAUACCAGAGGCAGCGUUUGAAGUGCACACGUCAUGAUAUGUCAUCCAGCUGUGUUAAGUGUCAUCACUCAUACAUACUAUGAAUGUUUACAGGGUGUCCUACCGAUUGCCCAAAUUUUUUUUUUCAGUUAUGAAGUUCACAAUACAAGCUCCCAUUUGGAUAUGAAGUUCAAAAUACAAGCUCCCAUUCUAAAAGAUAGAACACAAGAAAAUACAGUAGUUUUUUUUCAGUUAUGGAACAUUUGUCCAAAACUAUAAGCUUUGUAUUUAAGAAAGGUUAUUCAAUUGCAUUGGUUGACCUGGAGUUAUAGUAUACUCUUAAUCGGUUGCCACUAUAGCUUUUUCUCUGGCUGAUCUCUGCCAACAUAUACUACUUGCAAGAUCUCAAGGCCUGAUCCGACAUUAUGAAGGACAACAAAGAUGCACUUGAGGACAAACACCAGGCCUGCGUGGCGAGGCCGUGCAGCACUUUGGUUUAUAAUGGUUUUGCAGGAUCUCAAAAACACCUUAUACUCAAUGUAGUUAGAGCUUACUGUUAAACGUCUUCUAUGUUGCUGCUCAUUUAUUAUUAUAAAUCUUGUAGGUUGCAGCAACUUGAGUAGAUGCUUUGCAGAUAAGUUGUAUCUGAAGUUUGUAAAGAAUUUGAUUGCUGAAAUGGAUGAAAUAUGUGUAAUGCUUGCUAAAAUGGAUGAAAUAUGUGUUUUUCUAUAUCGUGAUUAGUGACUCGGCUCAACUGAACACGUCGCUGCUCAAGGGUCAUCA
rnacentral:lncRNA from 1 species